CAUACGCAAGUCGUUGGUCAUGCGUGCCAGUCAAUUCCAAUAUUGUUUUAACUUUGUGAAGUCUGCACUGUAGAAAAUAUUUGAUAGUAUUGAUUGGUGGCAAAUAUAUUUUUUUUAUUCAACGGGCUUGUUGUACAGACUGCUAAUCAAAUGCGUCUGCAUAUUCCGACAGUGUUAAUUCGCUCAACGACUGUAGCCAGUACUUUCAAAGGAAAAAAACGUAACGGUUGCGUCGUAUCACGUUAAUAUCUGUGUAUUUUUUACAGUUUCAAUGAUCCCAAGUUAAUUAUUUGGCUAUUUAAUUCAUCGAUCGAGCAUAUAAGUGAUUUUACGUCUACUAAUUUUUUAAUAUGAAAAUGAACCGAUAAUCGCGAAAAUCUUUUGGCGCCGUGGAUGCGUAUCUCUAAAAACGUACAAUUUCAUUAGACGUUGAAAAUUUCGUGUGCUAUUUGUCAGCUUCCUGUGCAUUGCUACUAAACAGAAUCACAGAGGGAAUCAUUUACUUAUUUAGUCCAAGUCUAUAUUGACUUGGUAGGAUGUUCGUGAAAUCAACAUGACGUGUACCAAAGCAAAAGUGAAUAAUUAGAAUGGAGAGUGUCCUGCUCCUUCAGCGGGAUUAACGUUAACGAAUACUUGGACUUUUAGUAGCGCAAGAAUAUACGAUUCCAUUGAGAGAAAAAAAAAUGUAAUUAAUGUAACUUUACAGGCGAGGUUGCCGUCCAUGCGAACAGGAUGUUGCAGAUCUCUCAAGAAAAUCCUCGACGGUUCUGGAUUGCUGUCGCAGCUGUAAACCGGUCAGCCGCUUGUCAAGUGUUCCAGUCGUCGUGACGGAUGUUGUUGAAGUAGCAGAGUGGAGAACAAUUCCCUGGCGACAACGUGUGCAUCCUAAUCAGAUACAGGAAAGACUUUACAACGGGUCCGUUCAGCUUUUCGACAUUUUAUUCCAACGAAUACAAGUCGCAGUUAACUGCUCCCCAGGGCGACAGAACGAGUCGUUCCGAUUACACGGUGUAAAGGGUUAAAACAACCCCCACAACGUUCGAAGGGUCCCGCCGAAAGAGAGCAGGAGCUUUUACUUGGCACGGGUUUACCAGUAGCCCGCUGGGCCCAAUCGCAUGAAAUUAAUGUCCUUCCAUUAUUAGUGGAAGUUACACUCCGUGCUCUCGAGAACUCUAUCUUAUUCUCCCUUUUAUUUCCUUUGCUCUCUUCUCUAGUUUUCUAAGAGAAGUUACUUUAGGGUGAUGCUAGUGCUGUUGGCAGUGUCGUCGCUAGUGCUGCCACUACUUGGGGUGGAAUGAAAGAAGGGUAACAAAAAAAGUAGACUAUGGAGUUAGAACUUUAGCUAACGUGAGUAACGCUCGACAUGGUUGUCGACUCCUGUUUCUUCAUUAGGGACUGUUGACAUCUUUAGGAUAUCCGAUAAAAGUGUUGACUUUGCAGAACAGAUAAAAUAUGAGCAUCGGAUCAUCUUGUCAUAAAUAUAAUUCACUGAUAUAGGACAAUAUAUAACUAUUAGGAUCAGGACAAGUAGAAGAACCAAAGAUAUAUAAAGAGAAUCUCAAGCACGUGGUAAGCAUCCAAAGUACGAGCUCCCGGGGGUGGCUUCUGAGGGUGGAAACCUUAUAGAAACAUGCAAGAACUCCUUUCCACAGCCAUGAAAAUAAAUGGUUAACAUAGAUACAAUUAAAGGAAGAGUUCUCUGGCGGCGAAAGCAGUAAGAAGACUCAUUGGCAUCAAUUCUUAAUUCGAAUCUGGCUAACGUAAAACUGAAAGUUAAGGAAGUUCGCCGACAUUAGCCGCAAGAAUGCCGCAAAAAUUACAUCAUUUUAAAAUACUACUCUCACAAAUGAUAACAACGAUAUUUCGGAGACCCAGGAGGAAGAUCAUAACCCAAUAGUCCUGUUUCUGGAGUAAAGGGAACAGGCACAGGCAAUCUUUCAGAACCAGAGAAAGAAAGAAGAAAUUCAUGACAAAAGGCAACCCUCGCAUUCGGGAUCCUUAUGAGUCUCCAUAGCGUUAAAUAUGCAGGGGGUGGUUUCCAGACUGUUAUUUAUUUAUUUAUCACCCCGACAUACAAAGAAAGAAGAACCAGGAAAACCAGAAAAUAUAAGUAUUCGUAUUUCUCAUACUUCUCUCGUAUCCAAUACGAGUUUCUCAUUUCUUUUCGUAUUUACGAUUCGUUUUAAAAACACGCGAAUUAAACGUUGUACAUUUUACUGGUAAAUACUGAAAAAAAAGGUAAAAGACAUUAAAGCACGGUACACGCUGCAAGUUGUACAGCAAUUUUCUUUGACAACGGUUUGUCUCGGGCGCGCGUAGACAAUACAGGCGGAUUCAAUAAAACCGCAACAAUAAGGGCGUAAAGGGGGUCGGUUGCCGCUGAGUCGCGUUGAGCGGCGAGGAGUCGAG